GGGCCCAUUCCGCGCGGAGGGCCACAGCGCAGCGCCUCCGCGUGGGCGCAUGGCCGGUCGCGACCGCCACCUCGCCCGCUCCCCCCGCGGUUAUUUCUACCGGGCCGAGCCGCGCCUGGAGAGGGCAGAGUCAGUGGAGGUGGAAUAGACUAGACUAAUCUUGUAGCGGGGUCUCCGGCCGCCUCUACCACCGAGGCGAGCACGCCCCUGCCGGCCUGCUCUGUCGUCGGUGAGCACGCGCAGCGGCCCGAAGAGGCGCGUACUCGCGGGGCAAAGUGCGCCAGCGACCCGAGGUAUACCUCGUUCUCUUCCUGGUCUGGAUCCGUCCGUCUACUUCAGUUUCGUACUGAGUAGAUCCACUGCUUAAGCGUGAGCUGUUGGUGAUCCGCCGUAGGUUUUACUAUCUCCUCCUUCCGUUCCAGUAGAUCCGCUUGAGCUAGGCUGUUGGACUAGGAUCAUGGGUGCGUGCAUCUCAAGCCCGAACUGCUGGGCAUCCACCGUAGUAGAAUCGCGCCUUCACUUGGAAAUAUGAUUAAAUGGUAGGGGGUCGACCGAAUCAUGAGUAGAUCUAUUUUCUUCAACAAGUAAAUCAUGCGUGCCAAGUACUUUUUUUCAUUGCCGGCUCGUGUGUGCAUCUUAGUUCUUCAGUGCAGAUUGCUGGCCAUCCAUGGUAGAUUUAUAGUGUGCUAAUCUGAUGGUGCAAGCUGCUCGAGGAAACCAAAAGUUCUCUAUGCCUUGCUCUACUACUUUUAGGUUGCUCUGGGUUUCUUCUAUGAAGAGAUGUGCACCAGUGAUAAUAGUGUGAGAUUGUUAUUUUCCCGUUACUUCUUUUGUGAUGGUUGGUGUGUGUGCGAUCUUAAGUGCAGACCGCUUGUCAUUCACUGUUAUUUUUUAUGUGUACAUUUAGAGUGUCUGAGUUUCUUUUAGGUAAUGCUCAUUUCUUUCCUAGAUGAGAUAACUAGCUCAUGAUUCAGUACUGUAUUUCUCUUCAUGAAGAUAUAUUGUACUCCUGCAGGUUUGCUUGCCUGCUGACCUUACAAAUAUUUUCUUUUCAGUAGGUGCCUUGGUAUAGAAUGAAGUGAAGAGAGCAGAGUAUCUUGGUCGUACUAAUCAAUUCAUCAUAUUAUGUGCGCAAUAAGAUUUUGCUAUGCUUUCACCGUUGAUGCCCACUGGUUGGAUCAUGCUUCUGUUUAUGAGCUCAUUGAAGUAACUCUCUCGUAGCUCAAAUGGGCCAAUUUCUCGUUUGUGUGGCACACAAAACCUUCAGCUAUCCAUCUCCAUAUCAGUUGGUCUCUCUUAAUUUUGUUAUCUUCUGGAAAUAUGCUUACGUAUAAUAAAUGAUGCGAAGGUAGAUCAUAGAAACAUGAACACAAUUCUUAAUCUAAAGCAAGAUGGUGUAGGCUACUUUUUGUGAUUCAACACAAAUAGCAGGCAUACAUGCACCAAUACUAAGAAAAUUAGCAAAGAAAAUGAGUAAAAGAGGCACUUGACUUGUAGAUUAUAAAAGAGUGAUGAUCUAGAAGUCAACCCUCUUUUACCAGUAGUUUUGAUCUACCUUCUCAUCCAUAGGAUUAGUUAUUAUGUCUAAGCAUGUUUUUAGAAGAUUAGAAUAUUAAGCAAGCUCAUUCGAUAUGUAAGGUGGAUAGUUUGAGGUUUUGUUUAUCAUGAAAAACAAGGGAUUAGCAAGUUUGAGCUCGGUGGUAGAAUUGCUUAGUGAGAUCGUGAAUAGGAGCAUGAUUCAACCAAUUGACAUCAAUGUUGAUAAAGGCAUGGAAAAAUCUUAUUGUAUACAUGAUAUGGUGAUUGAUUUCAUAUGCUGAAGAACCCUUGCAUGGCACUGAGUGAAAGCCUUCUAUCCAAAGGCGGCAAGAUGUGAAGAUUAUCCAUCCGAAAGAGCAUGACAGGUAGCAGCUAUGUCACAAUGAGGUCUGUUGCAAUUGUUGAUUGGGUGUAGCUUGUUGAGUGCUCCAAGUUCUACAUGCCCUGGAUUUAGAAUAUUGUGCUGCAUGUCUCCAUUCUUGGCAGUCACAAUGAUUCAAGAAUACUGUGUUUGCAAUGACAUGAAGCUCCUAUUGUAUUUCUACCAACUAGUGCUGAAUUAGUCACGAGUCUCUUGGUGUAUUUGUACCCACUGAUGCUGAAUUAUAGUUCGAGUCAAGAACUGUCAAAGUUCUGUGUCGGCUCCUGCCGUUAGCUCAUGAGGAACUUGUUUACCCUAUUCCUUUAUUUUGAUGCUGGCUUGUUAUACAUUGUGUCUCUUUUCUUUAUAGCAGUAGCAGCUUUUGAAGUCUUCUUGCUCUGCUCUUUGUAUGAAAUGUAAGGUAAUUGUUCUGAAAUGAUAUGUAUAUGUUACUUUUGUAGGUAAAAUUACAUGUACAGUACCAACGUCUUCAACUGUUAUUUUCUUUCUGACUGCCAUCAGUGGCAGGAUCACAAGUGAGGCCGUGCAAUGCAGCAUGAGCUAACAAAUGUCGUCGACAUGUACUUGAUCGCGCAUGCCUCCGCUUCUUCUCCAGCCAUACUGUCAAGCACACUGCGUUUGCCAUGCCGUUUGAUCCGUCUUCGUUCUGCAACAAGAUGAGGCAAAUCAACCGACUCUUCUAACUUUAUACAGGGGACCAAAUCAUAUAUGUGAUGUUUUUUUUUGUUAUCUUGCAA